AUGAAGAGAGAUUCUAGGGAAUUUGGGUGAGGCCUUAUAGAUAGACAAGCUUCCAGCAGCGAUGUUCUGUUGACCCAAACUCCACUUUUCCUGCCUGUCAGCCUUGGAGAUCAAGCAUCUAUCUCUUGCUCAUCAAGUCAGAGCCUUGUUCACAGUAAUGGAAAUUCCUAUUUGGAAUGGCACCUGCAGAAGUCAGGCCAGUCUCUACAACUCCUGAUCUAUGAGGUUUCCAAACGACAUUCUGGUGUUCCAGACAGGUUCAGUGGCAGUGGAUCAGGGACAGAUUUCACACUUAAGAUCAGCAGAGUAGAGCCUGAGGAUUUGGGAGUUUAUUACUGCUUCCAAGGUACACAUUUACCUCC